rnacentral:rRNA from 1 species
GACGAACGCUGGCGGCGUGCCUAAUACAUGCAAGUCGAACGCAGUGGGGACGGGUGAGUAACACGUGGGUAACCUCCCAUCAGAGGGGAUAACACUUGGAAACAGGUGCUAAACCGAUACUGAUGGAUGGACCCGCGGUGCAUUAGCUAGUUGGUGAGGUAACGGCUCACCAAGGCCACGAUGCAUAGCCGACCUGAGAGGGGGAACGGCCAAACUGGGACCUAGAACAGGCCCAGACUCCCACGGGGGGCAGCAGGAGGGAAUCUUCGGCAAUGGACGAAAGGUUUCACGAACCACCGCGCGGUAGGGAAGAAGGUUUUCGGAUCGGAAAACCCUGUUGUUAGGGAAGCGGUUUCUAACCAGAAAGCCACGGCUAACUACGUGCCAGCAGCCGCGGUAAUAC